CUUGGAGGAAUGUAUAGCAAUUGCUAUUUGCAUUAAAAGUUUUAGUGUAAAAUCGACUUUGUCGAAUAAAAUUCUGGGUAGAAUUAUGAUAAUGACAUUACCUACUCAUAAGUCUUGACCAAAUUACGUGCCAGCAGUCGCGGUAAUACGUAGAAGACAAGUGUUAUUCAUCUUUAAUAGGUUUAAAGGGUACUUAGACGGUAAAUAAAGCCUCCAAAAGGUACUAGUUUGCUAGAGUUUUAUAUGAAGGAGUUUUAAAGUACUACUGGUGUAGAGAUGAAAUUCAGUUAUACCUUACAUGGCACAGGUUAAGGCGAAAGCAUCUUCUUAUGUAAAAACUGACGUUGAAGGACGAAGGCUUUGUGUCUCGAACAGGAUUAGAUACCCUAGUAGUCUAAGCAGAAAAUGAUGAAUGUCAUAGAUUAGAUUUAAUUUGAUCUGUAAAUGAAAGUGUAAGCAUUCCACCUCAAGAGUAAUUUGGCAACAUUGGAACUGAAAUCAUUAGACCGUUUCUGAAACCAGUAGUGAAGUAUGUUGUUUAAUUUGAUAAUCCGCAAAAAACCUUACCACAAUUUGAAUAGAUAUAUUUUAUCAUACAAGCGUUGCACGGCUGUCUUCAGUUAAUGUCGUGAGACUUUGGUUAGUUCCAUUAAAUUAACGUAAACCCUUACUUUAUUUUUACAUAAAGUAGUUCACCGCUAUAUUGGAUGUGAUAAUAGGGAUCAAGACAAGUCAUCAUGACCUAAAUAUUGUGGGCU
rnacentral:rRNA from 1 species